GUUGUUAAAGACUUCCGGUGCUGGAAAUUGCUCCUAUCUUCCCUGGGCAGUGCUGUGCUUUGCUUCACUACUUCACUUUGAAUAUAUUAGAUGUCUCACAGAAGUGUCUCUCUUUUGAACAUAAGCCUAUUAAAAUACAAACAAAAUCUAAAGCUAUCAAAGGCCUGCAGUAAAUAGGCUGUUUUGCCUAGGUCUCUGAUCAUUAUCUCAGUAAUUCUGU